rnacentral:rRNA from 1 species
GACGAACGCUGGCGGCGUGCUUAACACAUGCAAGUCGAACGGAAAGGCCCUGCUUUUGUGGGGUGCUCGAGUGGCGAACGGGUGAGUAACACGUGAGUAACCUGCCCUUGACUUUGGGAUAACUUCAGGAAACUGGGGCUAAUACCGGAUAGGAGCUCCUGCUGCAUGGUGGGGGUUGGAAAGUUUCGGCGGGUGGGGAUGGACGCGCGGCUUAUCAGCUUGUUGGUGGGGUAGGGGCUUACCAAGGCAUUGACGGGUAGCCGGCCUGGGAGGGUGGCCGGGCACCAUGGGACUGAGAUACGGACCAGACUCCUACGGGAGGCAGCAGUGGGGAAUAUUGCACAAUGGGCGGAAGCCUGAUGCAGCAACGCCGCGUGCGGGAUGACGGCCUUCGGGUUGUAAACCGCUUUCGCCUGUGACGAAGCGUGAGUGACGGUAAUGGGUAAAGAAGCACCGGCUAACUACGUG